GACAUUCUAAAGACUUCUUGCCACAUCCAACUCUAUUUAAUUUCAGAUAUUUCUGCAGUCUGAGACAUCACACUCACCAAUGGAUUUAGAUAUCCAUUUCUGACCAAGUACUAAAGAAUUGAGGAGAUAACUCGCCCACAGUAUAAACAUAAAAGAUCUGCAUACCAACACUCCAACUUUCUUGCAACAAAGCAAACAUCAACUGCUGAUGGUGUCAUGUAGCAAAAAGCUUCAGACAGACUGACUCUAGGAGUAGAGCUCUACACAAAAUUAAAUAAAUUCUACCCACUACCUGUGAACUUGGAAGAGAACCUCAAACCCCCAAUCUCUUGACUUCAUUUCAGGCUACACUAGGACCAGGAAAAGAGCCCAGUGUUGACCACUUAGGCUGAGCCUUGAGUUCCUACAAGACUGCGGUCACGCUUUCCAGUUCCUAGCACAGACUAUGUCCCAAUCCCAGGUUCACAACUCCUAACUAAGUGCCCUCAAUGGAUUACUGCAGAAUGAGAUGCAAAAAACUGUCCUGGUCAAGAUUUGUGCCAGGAAUAAUUCAUGUAAGUCACCUG